rnacentral:lncRNA from 1 species
UAAGGCACUGUUGCCAGGGCCUGAGCCCAGCAGGAAAAGGGUGUGUGCAGAGGGAGGGCCUCGGGUCCUGCUGCUCCUCCUGGACUCCUUCAUCCCAAUCCCUUCACAUCCUUCUCUGACAAGGACUCCCACGUCCCUCCCCGGCUAACCUGGAUCCUGCUCAACCCAACACCUGCCUUCUCUCGGUCCCUGGGUUCCCGCAGGCCUUGGGGCCCCACAGUCAUAUCUGCUGUUCCUGCAGCUCGGCACAGUCACAGCAACUCUCCAAAUCAUGACGCUCAAAAUGCCACAUCUAAAAAGAACAUCCGGGUAGGUGCCUCUGCUUCUUCUGACUUGACCCCCCUUCCCUGCCCUCUUU